CCUACGGGUGGCAGCAGUGGGGAAUAUUGGGCAAUGGGCGCAAGCCUGACCCAGCAACGCCGCGUGAAGGAAGAAGGCUUUCGGGUUGUAAACUUCUUUUCUCAGGGACGAAGCAAGUGACGGUACCUGAGGAAUAAGCCACGGCUAACUACGUGCCAGCAGCCGCGGUAAUACGUAGGUGGCAAGCGUUAUCCGGAUUUACUGGGUGUAAAGGGCGUGUAGGCGGGAAAGCAAGUCAGAUGUGAAAACCAUGGGCUCAACCUGUGGCCUGCAUUUGAAACUGUUGGUCUUGAGUAUCGGAGAGGCAGGCGGAAUUCCUAGUGUAGCGGUGAAAUGCGUAGAUAUUAGGAGGAACACCAGUGGCGAAGGCGGCCUGCUGGACGACAACUGACGGUGAGGCGCGAAAGCGUGGGGAGCAAACAGGAUUAGAUACCCCUGUAGUC
rnacentral:rRNA from 1 species